UAUUAGUACUACACAUCACGAGUGACAGGAGACGUGGCCUGUUUUGGUCCAUGGCCUGUGUCGGCACCACUUGGAGCAUUCUGGUUAAAAAGGGGAUCGACCAGAGGACACAUCAGGUACGACACCAAAUGCCUCCACUCCCAAAUCACCAGUGCUUGGCCCUGCUCCUUGCCGGUGCCCACGGCCGGCUCCUUCAGCGGCGGCGCGGCCCCUCCGCAGAGGAGGAGGGGAGUUGGGGGGCGGCCUCAUGGGGGCGGAGAUCCGCGACACGGCCGGUGAGGCCGAGUGCCUCGGGCGACCAAGUGCCGGCGUGGGUUCCAGCGGGGCGAACAGCCAUGGCUGAUGCAAAGCGGCGGAGGAGCACACGGGCUUCCGGCGAGGGCGUCGGGAGUGCGGACGGCGGCGCUGCUUCCUGGUGCUUCUCCUCCACUUCCAGCGUCGGGAGGUUGAGGUCGCGGCGCGCUGGGAGAGCGAGCGUCGCCGCAGCGGCCUCGAUCUCCUCCGUCUUCACCUUCGGCAGGAGGUUGAUGACGAGUCGGGGCUUGGGCGCGUCCAGAGGGACUGCAGCCGGCGGCGAGGAGAACUCCGGCAAUGGAUCGUAGCCCGGCCGGGACGCUUCCAGCUCACACACAACUCCAAAAGCGCCCAGAACGAGCGGUGCGCGGUGCGGCGACAGACUGGAAGUUGGGCGUCAUCAUGAGUGACGCCGAUUCCGUCGAUAUCGAGUCUUCAAAAUACUUCUUUCGUUCCUAAAUAUUUGUCUUUCUAGAGAUUUCAUUAAUUAAUUGAUAACCGUUUUAAAAUCUUUCA